UACGGAGGAUCCAAGCGUUAUCCGGAUUCAUUGGGUUUAAAGGGUGCGUAGGCGGAAUGAUAAGUCAGUGGUGAAAUCCUGCAGCUUAACUGCAGAACUGCCAUUGAUACUGUCAAUCUUGAGUACAUUUGAUGUGGGCGGAAUGUGUCAUGUAGCGGUGAAAUGCUUAGAUAUGACACAGAACACCGAUUGCGAAGGCAGCUCACAAAACUGUAACUGACGCUGAGGCACGAAAGUGUGGGGAUCAAACAGG
rnacentral:rRNA from 1 species